UACAGAGGUGGCAAGCGUUGUUCGGAAUUACUGGGCGUAAAGGGCGCGUAGGCGGCCAUCUAAGUCAGACGUGAAAUCCCCGGCUUAACCUGGGAACUGCGUCUGAUACUGGACGGCUUGAGUAUGGAGAGGGAUGUAGAAUUCCAGGUGUAGCGGUGAAAUGCGUAGAUAUCUGGAGGAAUACCGGUGGCGAAGGCGGCAUCCUGGACCAUUACUGACGCUGAGGUGCGAAAGCGUGGGGAGCAAACAGGAGUUAGA
rnacentral:rRNA from 1 species